GUUUUCACUACUAUGAAAGAAGAAGGCAUAUAUUUUCCUUGUGGAAUUUCCAGUAGAAUGGCAGUGAGAACGAGUAAAAAUCUACAACAGUAUGACUGUAUGGUUCUCACUCAAAGUAGAGGCCCAACAAACUUUUUUGAAGUAGGAGUCGAAAACUACAAAUCCAUCUAUUCCUAGAAUGGAGCUGGUUGGAGUUGAGCCUACAAUUGAGCGGGUAGUUCGGUGGCACCGACAUCCAGCUGAAAGUUUUAUAGGAGGGUUAGUAAAGCAAAUUUGUUCAUGAGGAAAUGUGCCAGCAAAACAUUGAGUCAGAGUGCAAGACAAAUGCUCUUAACAGUUUUUUUGGUCGCUUUUCUUUAAUUACAAUUCUUAUUAUUUUUAGUUGGCAUUGAUGUACAAAAGAAAAUCCUGUGCC